CCUACGGGUGGCAGCAGUGAGGAAUAUUGGUCAAUGGCCGGGAGGCUGAACCAGCCAAGUCGCGUGAGGGAAGACGGCCCUACGGGUUGUAAACCUCUUUUGUCAGGGAGCAAGGUGCAGGUCGGGACCUGCUGUGAGAGUACCUGAAGAAAAAGCAUCGGCUAACUCCGUGCCAGCAGCCGCGGUAAUACGGAGGAUGCGAGCGUUAUCCGGAUUUAUUGGGGUAAAAGGGUGCGCAGGCGGAGGCAAAAGUGAGCGGUAAAAGCGCGGGGCUCAACCCCGCUCCGCCGUUGACACUGUGACCCUUGAGUGCGCGAAGGGUAGGCGGAAUGCAUGGUGUAGCGGGGAAAUGCAUAGAUAUCACGCAGAACUCCGAUCGCGAAGGCAGCCUACCGGCGCGCAACUGACGCUCAUGCACGAAAGCGUGGGUAUCGAACAGGAUUAGAUACCCCUGUAGUC
rnacentral:rRNA from 1 species